ensembl:lncRNA
UAGCAGUCCUAUGAGAGUAUCUUGGCUGGCGCGCUAGGUUUUUGUCCCUAUCCUAUUCGCCAUCCAUUCUGUUCCGUGCUACUAUUUUUAUGGCUCUAACAAGGUUCCGGGCAAGGUGUGCAGGAGGGCUGCAGGUGCAUCGUGGGAAAUGGAUGGCCUCAUCAUGACUGGAGCCCCCUGUGGAGCGUGAGAGGUGUUGCCCCAAGGAGCAGUGGCAGCUGUGGAAGGUCAAAGAAGCGUGAGGAGACACAGGGAGGGAUUCACUGAUCCAUGGAUUUAUUCACAGCGGCGCUCUUAUCGGCGUGACCAAUUUGAAUGCUCUCCACGGUCUUAAGAGAGUGAAUGAAGUGGAGGUCUGAGGAUGUGCACUAACUGUGUGCGUACUGCAGUCCCUCCGAGCUCAGAGAAUUCAGAAGAUGCUUCGCUAACCACUGGUGAAACUGAAACAGAUGUGCUUUACAACCCAGCAGGCCCGGAUGAUCAGCCUGAACAGAAAUACAGCAUCUAAAUGCUAAAAAUGCAUAGCAGAUGAGGUGAAUUAAUGCAUUUUUGAGUUAAAAUAUGCCUACACUGAGUAAUAACUAGUCCCUAUUGCCCUCUUCCCAG